rnacentral:rRNA from 1 species
GGUCAAGCGGGUGAAGGCAUACGGUGGAUGCCUUGGCAUCAAGGGCCGAAGAAGGGCGUAGUGCGGCUACGAUAAGCCUCGGUGAGCUGCCAAGCAAGCCUAACCGAGGAUUCCCGAAUGGGGCAACCCGCUCAGGUAAAACCUGG